AUGUAGUUUCCCAUCACAAUGGAAUUGGUUGUUUUCUCCAGGUAGAUCUCAUGAUUCUUGCAGGAAAUGACAUCUUUGAGCAUGCUCAGAAGCAAUUCAACUUCUGUAGGGAGCUGCCUUUCUGGGAGCUGGUACUCCUUUUCACCACGGGUUGUUCUCCACCCACCCCUGACAAAGAUCCUUCUGCCCUUCUCCUAGGAGAAAUAGGACCCAGGCCCAGACUACAAGGAACACUAUGGUUUCUUCUGCCACAGAAGAAGAGGCCUCUCCUUGGCUGAAAUUUAAAGGAGGACUGGCGGCAGCCAGCGCUUGUCCAUUUCUGAACACGGCCAGAUAACUGAGUUCUAGCCAGCCUAUUCCAAAAUCAGAGGCCCAUUCUAAGGACUCUGAUCCAGAGGAGACCCUGAUUGGAGGAAGAGGGAGCACCUGCCCAGAUCCCUGCCACUGGCCCUCCAGUUCCCUCAGAUCUAGAACAAAGAAAGUCAGCUGCCCAUUUGGAGGAAGACUGGGGAUCCAGCACCAGCACCACCAUUAAUCCCUGACCUCAAGGCUCGGAACUCUCUCUACCACUGGAUGCAUCCCUAGAAGUGAAGACAAUGCCAAUCCAGAGCUGAGCUACAGCUCCAAAAGGCAAUGCUUGCCUGGCUGCUCAGGGCUUCUCUCUUGCUGGGCCUACCCAGGAGGAGGCAGGCCAGCUCAAGUGCCUCCACUAGAACAAGGCUGGCCUGAAGAUCCAGGAAGGGGUGGAGUUCAUGCUGGCUAAACCUUAAGGGCAGUGGUUAGUGUCUGGGAGUGAAUUGUCUCCCACUCAUGCAUGCUGCAUUCCAGGCACCUAGGUGUCAUGGGGGCUCCAGCUGCUCCAGCCAUACCACUGGAGUGUCCAGCACUCAAGGUUUUGCUGCCACUUUCAGCCGCAAACAUAACCCUGCCUGCCAGUUCUGGUAAGUAAUGCUCACAGCUCUAUGGAUCCUUAGGGCAGAGGCUGCCUAAAGUGACUUCUGGCAUAGAACUAGGCAUGAUGGCAAACUGAAUUCUCAACAUAAACAAUAAAAACUCAUCUCUGACAACAAAAGAGGCACAGCAAACUUACCAGAGAAAGCCAACACAAAGAUUAAGGAUUUGUCUAGCCCAGGAGCACAAAGAUGCUUAGGAACUAUGGCCAGCACUUCAGUUGUUUUACAAAACUCUCAAUCACUUGAAUAUACGAGGGGUAUGGUAUUGGAUAUUAGCCUUCCAUAUUAGACCAUUAAGCUCAGGAAGGAUGGGUGGGUGGAGUUCUUUAUAGCCAUUAGAAGCAGCAACAGCUGGGAAAGGACAAUGGCAGAGAAUGGAUGGGUGCUGCUGAAUUGCUGCGAAAACUGUGCUGGGGUGGCUUUACUUUCAUGUUCACAGUGCCAUGUUUUUUUCAAUGGCUCUAGGAUAGCUGAAGGGAUUUAAUGGGCAAUGACAAUAAAACAUGACGUGACACAUGAAGAAGUAGAGUGCUCCAAAGAUACAUUCAGUAAGGAGGGACUGAUGUUGGACAUAGGGAUCCAGUUGUGUGUGGGGAACCUGUCCCAAGAGUUUGGGGUGCAUCCUUCAUACCUGAGGGGGGUCUGUGUCCUCCUAAGCUCCAGCAACACCCACGUAGACUGGACUGCCAAUAAAACAAUUGUGGGGCUUCACUA